UCAAAUAAAUUUAGUUGAGAGCUAACAACAAAUGGCUGUUCCUUCUACACCCACAAACAUCGUGCUUGAUAAAGAGUGGCGACACUUUAAUGUUGGUUUCAUCGACCUAUGAAGGCUUUCCUAACGUGAUUAAGAGUGGUGCAUCGCCCUCUGAAUUCCUGCAAAAUACAGAGCUCAGUGUUAUUGCAUAUUGUGUAUGCUAUCGGAAAUAUAGCCACGUUGGUCGUUGUUUGGACUGCUAAUAACGAAGUAGCUACCUCGAUCCUUCCUGCUGGCACUCUGUUAUUUGGAAAGGUAUCUGGAGCAAACUUCAACGCGACGGUGCCAACGAUUCGUACACCAACAGCUACGGUUGGAUAUACAAUUCAGCGGUAGAUAUCAAAUCAGAUGGUGAUGCUCAAACCUUAACCGCCUCAAUCUCUGUUGUUCCACCAAAAUAAACUAGCUUUGCUUAAUUACCCUUUGCAUAAUUAGGCAAUCCCUGAUGUGGUGGUGAGGCUGUCAAAACUAAAUAAAUAGUACAGUUUUUCAAUUAUGUGUGUUUAGUUCUCUUUUACUUGUAAUAAUUUGACAGCCAACAAUAAAAGAUUGCCACUUGCUCUAGCUUUUCAA